rnacentral:tmRNA from 1 species
GGGGGUGUUCCGGAUUCGACCUUGAAUUGGAGCAUGGGGCUGCAUGUCGAUGAUGAUAGUUACCAUCGGAAAAAUAUUAUCACAUACUUAUUAUAAGUGCCAACGAUGAAGCAUUACCUAUGGCUGCAUAAACCAGCCAUCGUCUCUACUCUGACACCUGCUAGGGGAUAGAGGCGCCGACAGCAGGCAUAGUUCCCAUGGGGUGUCCAGCCGGGAGCCGUAUCAUCACUCUGGAUACUAGUAAACCGAUAGCGGGUCACGCGGCGAUCGGAGAGCGAAAUUAAAUGCGCGACUAAACAUGUAGACGUCGUAUGUGAAGGCUCAAGGGACGCGGGUUCGACUCCCGCCACCUCCACCA